AUGCCUGUACCAUAACCGACACAGGUGGGUAGGUAGAGUAUACUAAGGGGCGCGAGAUAACUCUCUCUAAGGAACUCGGCAAAAUGACUCCGUAACUUCGGGAGAAGGAGUGCCUUAUUUAUAAGGUUGCAAUAACAAGAUCCAAGCAACUGUUUAUCAAAAACACAGGUCUCCGCUAAGUCGUAAGACGAUGUAUGGGGGCUGACGCCUGCCCAGUGCCAGAAGGUUAAAGAAGUUGGUUAGUGUAUGCGAAGCUGAUGACUGAAGCCCUGGUGAACGGCGGCCGUAACAAUAACGGUCCUAAGGUAGCGAAAUUCCUUGUCGGGUAAGUUCCGACCCGCACGAAAGGCGUAAUGAUUUGGAUACUGUCUCGGAGAGAGGCUCGGUGAAAUAGACUUGUCUGUGAAGAUGCGGACUACCUGCACCAGGACAGAAAGACCCUAUGAAGCUUUACUGUAACUUGAAAUUGGAAUUGGACUUUGCUUGCGCAGUAUAGGUGGGAAGCGUUGAAGAUAUUCUUGCGGGAGUAUUGGAGCUAUCAGUGAGAUACCACUCUUGUAAUGUUAGAUUUCUAACUUUGAACCAUAAUCUGGUCAAAGAACAGUUUCAGGUGGGCAGUUUGACUGGGGCGGUCGCCUCCCAAAUGGUAACGGAGGCGUACAAAGGUUUCCUCUGAACGGAUAGAAAUCGUAUCUAGAGUGUAAAGGCAUAAGGAAGCUUGACUGUGAGACCUACAAGUCGAGCAGGGACGAAAGUCGGUCUUAGUGAUCUGACGGUACUGAGUGGAAAGGCCGUCACUCAACGGAUAAAAGUUACUCUAGGAUAACAGGCUGAUCUCCCCCAAGAGUUCACAUCGACGGGGAGGUUUGGCACCUCGAUGUCGGCUCAUCGCAUCCUGGGGCGGUAGUACGUCCCAAGGGUUGGGCUGUUCGCCCAUGAAAGCGGUACGCGAGCUGGGUUCAGAACGUCGUGAGACAGUUCGGUCCAUAUCCGGUGUAGGCGUUAGAAUAUUGUGAGGAGCCUUCUUUAGUACGAGAGGACCGAGAAGGACACACCGCUGGUGUACCAGUUAUCGUGCCAACGGUAAACGCUGGGUAGCUAUGUGUGGAGUGGAUAACCGCUGAAAGCAUCUAAGUGGGAAGCCCACCUCAAGAUGAUUGCUCUCACAGGGUUAACCUGGUAAGGUCACGGGAAGACCACCCGUUGAUAGGCACUCGGUGGAAGUCCAGCAAUGGAUGAAGCCAAGGUGUACUAACAGACCGAGGGCUUGAC
rnacentral:rRNA from 1 species